rnacentral:rRNA from 1 species
UACGUAGGGGGCGAGCGUUGUCCGGAUUUACUGGGCGUAAAGGGCUCGUAGGCGGCCAACUAAGUCAGACGUGAAAUCCCUCGGCUUAACCGGGGAACUGCGUCUGAUACUGGAUGGCUUGAGUUUGGGAGAGGGAUGCGGAAUUCCAGGUGUAGCGGUGAAAUGCGUAGAUAUCUGGAGGAACACCGGUGGCGAAGGCGGCAUCCUGGACCAACACUGACGCUGAGUGAGCGAAAGCCAGGGGAGCAAACGGG